UACGAAGGGGGCUAGCGUUGCUCGGAAUUACUGGGCGUAAAGGGCGCGUAGGCGGAUGCUUAAGUUGGGGGUGAAAGCCCAGGGCUCAACCCUGGAAUUGCCUUCAAUACUGGGCAUCUUGAGUACGGGAGAGGUGUGUGGAACUCCGAGUGUAGAGGUGAAAUUCGUAGAUAUUCGGAAGAACACCAGUGGCGAAGGCGACUCACUGGCCCGUUACUGACGCUGAGGCGCGAAAGCGUGGGGAGCAAACAGGG
rnacentral:rRNA from 1 species